GAUGAACGCUGGCGGCGUGCCUAAUACAUGCAAGUCGAGCGAACGGACGAGAAGCUUGCUUCUCUGAUGUUAGCGGCGGACGGGUGAGUAACACGUGGAUAACCUACCUAUAAGACUGGGAUAAAUUCGGGAAACCGGAGCUAAUAUCGGAUAAUAUUUUGAACCGCAUGGUUCAAAAGUGAAAGACGGUCUUGCUGUCACUUAUAGAUGGAUCCGCGCUGCAUUAGCUAGUUGGUAAGGUAACGGCUUACCAAGGCAACGAUGCAUAGCCGACCUGAGAGGGGGAUCGGCCACACUGGAACUGAGACACGGUCCAGACUCCAACGGGAGGCAGCGGUAGGGAAUCUUCCGCAAUGGGCGAAAGCCUGACGGAGCAACGCCGCGUGAGUGAUGAAGGUCUUCGGAUCGUAAGACUCUGUUAUUAGGGAAGAACAUAUGUGUAAGUAACUGUGCACAUCUUGACGGUACCUAAUCAGAAAGCCACGGCUAACUACGUG
rnacentral:rRNA from 1 species